AACGAACGCUGGCGGCGUGGAUUAGGCAUGCAAGUCGAACGGAUAUUUAGCUUUUUCGAAUAUCAGUGGCGAAAGGGUGAGUAACACGUGGGAUACCUGCCUUAGAGUUUGGGAUAACCAGUCGAAAGAUUGGCUAAUACCGGAUACGUUCAUAUACUUUCGAGUAUGUGAGGAAAGAUGGGGACCUCUUCGGAGGCCUGUCACUCUUAGAUGGGCCCGCGGCCUAUCAGCUAGNGGUGAGGUAAUGGCUCACCAAGGCUAAGACGGUAGCUGGUCUGAGAGGAUGGUCAGCCACACUGGAACUGAGACACUGUCCAGACAUCUACGGAUGGCUGCAGUCGAGAAUCUUUCGCAA
rnacentral:rRNA from 1 species